rnacentral:misc_RNA from 1 species
UCAAAGUAUCAAGCUUGGCUUGUUGUUGGGCCCUUUUGUCACCCUGGUGAUAGGUCCAAAAGAUAAUGACCGGUGUCGUAAAGACUCUAUAUGCAACGAGCUUAUAACAGCACGCAUCUAGUAGUUAUAUGGCCCGGUUCUCACCCCUUUAUUUCUCAA